AUUGAACGCUGGCGGCAUGCCUUACACAUGCAAGUCGAACGGUAGAGGAGCAAUCCUUGAGAGUGGCGAACGGGUGAGUAAUGCAUCGGAACGUGCCCAGUCGUGGGGGAUAACUACUUGAAAGAGUGGCUAAUACCGCAUACGACCUGAGGGUGAAAGCGGGGGACCGUAAGGCCUCGCGCGAUUGGAGCGGCCGAUGUCAGAUUAGCUAGUUGGUGGGGUAAAGGCCUACCAAGGCGACGAUCUGUAGCUGGUCUGAGAGGACGACCAGCCACACUGGGACUGAGACACGGCCCAGACUCCUACGGGAGGCAGCAGUGGGGAAUUUUUCGCAAUGGAGGAAACUCUGACGAAGCAACGCCGCGUGGAGGAUGAAGGCCCUCGUGGUCGUAAACUCCUGUCUAGCGGGACGAAAGUAUUUGCAGUGAAUAAUUGCAGAUAUUGACUGUACUGCUGGAGGAAGCUCCGGCCAACUCCGUGCCAGCCGCCGCGGUAAGAC
rnacentral:rRNA from 1 species